rnacentral:rRNA from 1 species
UACGAAGGGUGCUAGCGUUGUUCGGAAUCACUGGGCGUAAAGCGCGCGUAGGCGGCUUUUCAAGUAAGGGGUGAAAUCCCCAGGCUCAACCUGGGAAUUGCCUUUUAAACUGUAAAGCUGGAGUACUGGAGGGGAUAGCGGAAUUCCUAAUGUAGAGGUGAAAUUCGUAGAUAUUAGGAGGAACACCGGUGGCGAAGGCGGGUAGCUGGACAGUAACUGACGCUGAAGUGCGAAGGCGUGGGGAUCAAACAGG